UGAAGCUGCUCGGCAUCGGAUCAAACAUCAUGAGCCUCGGCGGCAUCGCGAUCGCGAUCGGGGCCAUGGUAGAUGCGGCGAUCGUGAUGAUCGAGAAUGCGCACAAACGUCUGGAACGUGCCGUGCCCGGUCAGUCGCGUCUCCAAAUCCUGAUCGAUGCCGCAUCCGAAGUCGGGCCCGCGCUGUUUUUCAGCCUACUGAUCAUCACUGUCUCCUUUAUGCCGAUCUUCACAUUGGAAUCGCAGGAGGGGCGGCUAUUCAGCCCGCUGGCCUUCACCAAGACGUUCGCGAUGGCGGCGGCU
rnacentral:misc_RNA from 1 species